rfam:Glycine soja cultivar W05 scaffold1533_8, whole genome shotgun sequence.
UUCUUAUUGGAUGAUGAUUGCCAUGUGUCAUGUUCUGAUUGGAUGUCAACUCCAUGAAAGAUAAAAUGCAUUGUUGUUUUCAUUGACCAAUCAGAAUAUGACACGUGACAGUCAUCAUCC